CACUGCUAUGGACCCGGAAAAGUGCGCAAUCGCGUGGUCCAGCAGGUUGUGCUGCAGAUGGAGCAGCGAUCUUAUAUCCGAUCCCGAUCCGGUCAAAUGCCGCUGGCUAAAGAAGUGGAUUCAGAAGUGCGACGACGACUCGGAAGUACCAAAGAGCGUCCUAAGUGGAGAGUGACCAUUGAGAAAGACGGCGGUUGCAACCAUAUGGUGUGCAAGAACCAGAACUCGGCUCCUGGGAGCCGCACGGCUCUUCCUGGUACAACUGUAACCGGUACAAUGAGUAUGAGGCCAAGACAGCUCGUGUUGCCCAGGAGAAGUUGGGCUCAUCCCUGGCCAGCUCCGGACAUGCAUGCAGCAGAAGGAGGAUCUUGAAACGGGUCUGACACGCAUGCGCGAACGUUUGGAGGAGUCCGCUCAGCAUUCGCAGGCGGUGCAGCGCGUGCAGACUACCGAAAUGAAGGCGGAGGAUUUGCAGCAAUGUGCCAGCAAUGAGGCACCGUCUGGAGCGAGCUUGACGAAAGCAAGCUGUAUAACAACAUGGAGUUGGAGUCGUUAGACAAACUCUUUUCGGCUUACCAAAAGAAUGCGGUAUCGGCUACCGAUGGCUCCUAUGAGCAUCUGCGAGCAACUGGAGGCAAGCCAACCAAGCAAGUAAGGUGCUCUCAGAGAUCGAUGCGGGCCGGGCCCAGAACUGCACCAUCCUGCUAGUCAAGCUGAAUAUGAGAUAUCAAAGGCCAUUCUCUCGAUAGACAGCAACAAGCAGCUGACCACUCGACAUGGUCUAGCAGCUGCUAAAGUUCCCGCCCUCGGCGAAGGAGCGUGCACUGUUGGAUGAGCAUAGCGAGGAUAUUGAGUCACUGGCCCGCGCCGAUCGCUUCCUUUACGAAAUAUCAAAGAUUCCCCAAUACGAGUAGAGGCUGAAGAGUUCACUACUGGAAGCGCUUAAUGCCGACAUCAGCAGCUCAGGGAGUAAUCAAAAUGGAAGUCAGCAGCAACAACAACACCAACAGCAACAGCAACACCCUCAAGCUGAACACACGCACGGCGUUGGCCUUUCUGGAGAACGGCAUCUCCUCUCACCGGCAGCCAUCGAUCGGGACUCAGAAGGCAGGCCGUUGCGUCGAGGCUGUGCCCGUCGAGCAGAAGAUCCAGCAGGGGCUACAGGACCUCAAGUCGCGCGAGUCGGAGCUGAAGCGCCUGCGCAAGAAUAACAGGCACAACACACUGAAGGC